rnacentral:misc_RNA from 1 species
UUCGCCUCGAUUUCCCCAAUGGGUUCUCCGGAUUUCUGGAGACUUGUAGGGGUUGUGGGAUUUUUGAUGUGUCGUCUCCGGACGGGCGGUGCAGGGUAGUCGAGUUAGACUUGGUGGGAUUCCGUCGAUAGGAGUUCCGUCGAGUCUGGUCGGCUGUGUGUUGGAUGGUGUAGGGUAGGCUGCUUGGACAUGGUCGGUUUGACGAUCGAUUCGAGGGCCGGCCUGUCGAUGAUGUGUGAUGUAUGCGGCGGUCUAGGGUAGGCUGGUUUGUCUUGGUUUAAUUUGAUGUCGGCUCCCGUGUAGGCCAGAGUGAGGGGGGUCCAGGGUAGGUACAGGGUAGGCAGCUUAGAUUUGGUCGAUCUGGAGGUCGAUUCUCCGGCUGGCGGAUUUGACACUCGAAACGAGAUGCGAGCGGUGUAGGGUAGGCUAGUUUCGUCCUCGCCAGGUUGCGAUUUGGACGAGAUAUGCGGUUUGGGGUAGGCUCUAGGGUAAGUAGAAUUCGAGUUUCGUCGCCGAUAGUUUUCUGUGGGUGUAGGGUAGGUACAGGGUAGACAAAUCUCUCUCCGGCCAGUACUUGUCUGGUGGUCAUGAGUCGAUUUUUUUGUUUUGCCAUACUAUGAAAUUUUUGCAA